rnacentral:tRNA from 1 species
CCGGUGGUAGCUCAAUGGCGGAGCAGGCGGCUGUAGACCGCAAGGCUGGGGGUUCAAAUCCCUCUCACCGGA